GCUCACUUGGCAGCACAUAUGCUAAAAUUGAAACAAUAAAGAGAAGAUUAGCAUGGCCCCUGUGUAAGGAUGACACACAAAUUGGUGAAGUGUCCCAUAUUUUU
rnacentral:snRNA from 1 species